AGCGAACGCUGGCGGCAGGCCUAACACAUGCAAGUCGAGCGAACUCUUCGGAGUUAGUGGCGGACGGGUGAGUAACACGUGGGGACGUGCCUUUUGGUUCGGAAUAACUCAGGGAAACUUGUGCUAAUACCGAAUGUGCCCUUCGGGGGAAAGAUUUAUCGCCAUUAGAGCGGCCCGCGUCUGAUUAGCUAGUUGGUGAGGUAACGGCUCACCAAGGCGACGAUCAGUAGCUGGUCUGAGAGGAUGACCAGCCACACUGGGACUGAGACACGGCCCAGACUCCUACGGGAGGCAGCAGUGGGGAAUCUUGCGCAAUGGGCGAAAGCCUGACGCAGCCAUGCCGCGUGAAUGAUGAAGGUCUUAGGAUUGUAAAAUUCUUUCACCGGUGACGAUAAUGACGGUACCCGAAGAAGAAGCCCCGGCUAACUUCGUG
rnacentral:rRNA from 1 species